GAUAAACGCUGGCGGCGCACAUAAGACAUGCAAGUCGAACGGACUUAACUCAUUCUUUUCGAUUGAGAGCGGUUAGUGGCGGACUGGUGAGUAACACGUAAGCAACCUGCCUAUUAGAGGGGAAUAACAGUGAGAAAUCAUUGCUAAUACCGCAUAUGCUCACAGUACCACAUGGUACAGUGAGGAAAGGAGCAAUCCGCUAAUAGAUGGGCUUGCGUCUGAUUAGCUAGUUGGUGGGGUAAUGGCCUACCAAGGCGACGAUCAGUAGCCGGACUGAGAGGUUGAACGGCCACAUUGGGACUGAGAUACGGCCCAGACUCCUACGGGAGGCAGCAGUCGGGAAUAUUGCGCAAUGGAGGAAACUCUGACGCAGUGACGCCGCGUAUAGGAAGAAGGUUUUUCGGAUUGUAAACUAUUGUCGUUAGGGAAGAUACAAGACAGUACCUAAGGAGGAAGCCCCGGNUAACUACGUGCCAGCAGCC
rnacentral:rRNA from 1 species